ACGAUGACCUACAGGAAACGGUAAGAGGGGGUGGGGACUUUCUCCGUUUGUCAAUGAGCAAUUGCGCCUAAAGUUGCCGUUGGUUUUAAAGAGCGCUACACUUAGCACGGUUAACCCACGCUACAUAAGAACAUCGUUUACUAUAUAUAAACACUGUCAAAUUCCACUCAGUCACUUUCUCCGGCUUCCUGUCUGGUGUGUUUGGGGGAUUUUAAACUCCCGGCAACACAAGGGGGCUCGUUGCUUGAAGCAGGAAAGUGAAAGUAUGUUGCAGAACAAGACAAGGCGGCUGAAAGGCGAAGCAUUGUGUCAUAUGGAGCUAAACUCUGAUGGUUAACAAGACACCGUAAUGAUUGGGAAAGUCUGGAUUUUCAUCACUGCAUUUUCAUUCAUCACAUACGUUCAUUAUGCCCAGCCUGCAUGUAUGCCGAAUGACCUAAAGACGCAUCUGGAUGACCAUUUAUUGGAAGAACACUUGUUUGAAAUUAAAGUAUUCUCAUCUGAAACAAAGGAACAUGAGCUUCUUUCUGUAAUAAACACUUUGUGUUCAACCUGGAUGAAAAACAAGAAAAAAGACAAAUUAAUUGUGCUAGAUACUUUUAAAAUAAUGCUACAUUUUUUUUCAGAAAAGUAUGAACAAAUGUGUGUGAAUCUUAAUUGCACAGAUGCUUACACAGUAAGCACUGUCAACACAACUGUAUUUGGUGAUAUGUAUAGAAGAUCUUGUAGUGGAACAAUAUCAGAUCUGAAAUGUCCAUCAAAAGGUACAACAACGAUCAGCCCAAAUGCUGUUGAAAGCACGACAUUUUUUACAACGUUCGAUUCAGUCACCACAGCUCAUAAAAGUAAGCAAAGCACAACAUCUUUAACAACAGUCAGCCCAAACAUCACAGCUCCUGAAAUUUCAUCAGAACCUACAGAAAGCAUCAUUCAAGCAUUAAAAGAUGACAAUCAGAAUCUCUGGAAUACUGUUAAAAAGUUUUCUGGAGCCCUCGCUUUCUCUCUGCUGCUGAAUGUUGUUCUAUUCCUGUUGGUAUUAAAGAAGUACCUUGAGAAAUCCCAGGCAAAUAUAAGUGGAGAGGUGAGCCUCUUACAAAUUCAAGUGGAAGACCAGAUUUAGUAAAUGGACAUUUUACUGCUUCGUGUUUGAAAACAGCUUAUCCAUGCUGUUCGCCUGCCUUCUUGUUCCAGAUGAUUGUCUGGAAUUGUUUUUCUCCAGUUUCUAUAGUCAUCAGUUAUUACAUGUGCAUGGCACAGUUUGUCUUUGAAUUUGUGGCUGACAUCACAAGAAGUUCAGGUUUAUAUACUCAAACACGUCCACACAGCCUGUACAUGUUUCCAUUUCUAAAUAUGAUUGUCCUGAAUGUACAUCCAUAACUGUUAUCCUUCAUCUAUUAAGUACCUCUGCUCAUGGUUUUUGAAGUUGCCAUUUGUAAGUUGCUUUAAAUAAAAGUGUAAUGCUAAAUGAUUAAAUGCAAAUGUAAAUAACCCAGUGUGCACUAUGAUGAUCCUGUUAGUGAUGAUAUGGAUUAAAAAAUGAUCUAUACCCCUCAGGGCUCAGGCCUUGAAUGGUUGUACCAGGGAGUUUCUUUUGAAAGGAACAAGGGCCAGGAAAAGUAUUUACAGUUAAGCUACUGCUAUAAUAAAACUAUUAUAUCCUGACUUUUUUAAGCAGUUUUUUUUUAUUUUAUUGUUUAUUUUAUGCAAUAUGUUUAUAUUUUGGUAUGUUUGUGUGUAAGAGGGUACAAUCAGCAUUUAUGUGCAGCAUUCUGGGUAUCUCAGAAUGUUUAUUGUAUUUUAUUGAUGCUUCUGUGUGUGUAAUUGUUUGCUGCAAAAUGCAUACAAUAAAACAAGAAAUAUGAUGUCUAUCUUGAACCUCAUUUAAUGGCACUAAAAAGUUCUCAUUAAAAAUAUGAAUGACA